GGCCCUUAUGUCAUUCAAAUAACACACACACACAACACACACACAAUAAGACAGACAGCUGUUCUGGCCCUUAUGUCAUUCAAAUAACACACACACACACACACACAAUAAGUUGACACGUUUGUUGAUGUCCAAAUAUUUAUUUGGUGCUUUUUCGUAAUACCAUGUGCUGAGACCUUACAGUCACCUCUCUGAUUAAAUAACUAAAAGCCUGAAUGCCCCGGAUGUUACAUGCAUAGUAAAGUGCCCAUACUAUAAUAUGUGCUCUGACAAUGAAAAUAUAUAGAGUUUGAAAACCAGACAGCUCAUCUAGAACAUAGCAGUCAGGAGGUUAACAGUUGAUAAUAUUCAUACGAUAUCAAUAUGUACAGUAUGUUUCAACAGCUUUCCUUCAAAACUCCCCGGAUCCAUAUUUCUCUGUAUGGACCAAGUGAUGCAAGUCUUUCUCAGGCAGUAAAGUGUGUGACAGCGCAUCUCUGUCCCUCAUAAACACACACAAUACCAUCUCUGUCCCCCGCAGACUUAGGCUGGACAAACGACAUGGAGGUGAUUCAAACCCUUCUCAGAACUUUUAGGGGUUUAAAAAAAGUUGUUUGGCAAAGCAUUAAAGGUUUCCUCUUGGAACUCUCCGUGGAACUCUUUCAUCAGUCAGCGUUAGCAGAGAACGUCUCAAGAAACUUAAACGGCCUCCUGUGUGUGUGUGUGUGUGUGUGAGAGAACGUCUCAAGAAACUUAAACGGCCUCCUUGUAGAACCUGUAAUGGUUCUUUGGCUCAGCCCCACUGAAUGAAUCAUGUAGGUGAAAAUUAAAACCAUAUAAUAAUAAUAAUAAUAAUAAAUAAUAAUUCAUUUUAUUUGUAAUGCACUCUUCAUUCAGAAGAAUCUCAGAGUGCGAUAUAGGUUCAAUUUAGAACUGUUCUUCUCAGAACCCAUUGCAACUGUUUUGACCAACAGUUUUAUAGCUAAAUAAAUAUUGUAAAGGAGUAAAUACACAAGCAAGGGUAGGUGUCAGAAGUAGAACCUUUCAAUGUUCCUCUGUGGUGAACAAGUCAGGUUGACUCCUGCUUGUCCGUGUAUCUAAGUUCAAGUCCAGAUCGUGUAUAGGGCUCAAUGGAAGAAGCUGAGUUCUCUUGAGAGACGUAGAUGAAAGGUGGUUACUUUGGUGCGCUAAACUGGUUGUCUUUGGAGAAAUCAAAGAUGCCCGAGGUCACAGACAACACAGGAAGCCUCCUCGUAUAAGAGCUGCUUUGGGAUUGCAUCUGUCAUGUAAACGACACAGAGCGGGGAACCCAGAUACAGUGUAAAUACACUCAUCUGAGAAAGAUGUUGUUUUUCCCCUAAAUAAUGCAGAUACCAUCGACACAGAGACUCAGGCAUAAAUAGUGACCUGGGAUUACUUAAAAAUAUCUGAUAAUGUGCUUGAUUCAAAAUACUUCAUGUGGCUAUGAUACAGAUUUUAAAAACUGACAUCAGAAAUAUUGCUCAAACAGAAAAAAAUUAUCUUUUCAUAUAAUACCAUAAUAUUGUGUCCCUCACCAUGUUGAUAGUGUACUCCAGCUGGCCAAUGAAAUGAUAUCAACAAACAUUUUCACAAUCAUGCAACCGAACAUUUUCAUUUGAUGUCAUGACGUGUCUCUUAACCUAAGUAAAAGCACAGUCUUUACUCAGUAUCUAUUGAACAGAUGGGCUUUUAGAGGACAAGCUGUGUCUUCAUAGGGUUGAUUAAGUUGCAUGUUGAACUCCAGCCAUUGUUGCAUCAAUACUAACAAGUUGGUCAAAUGGUAAUCAAUUCUAGGCUGUAUACUUGUAAAGCGUUUGGCACACCUCUGUGGACACGGUAUAUACGGUCUCCGCACAUGAUGCAAAUGUUGUCAUCCGCACAUCCGGACAUGUCUGUAUUGACUGUGCAUUCGUGAAACUGAGCGUGCAGCAGUUCCCAUGUGCUCAGUACAAUAAGGUGGUAGGUCACACAUGAGUGAGUUUGUCUGUUUCCGCUUGUCCGCAACAGCACACAAAUGAGUAUCCUUUCGGGAUACACCAAAGCGCAUGUCCAUACCCGUACUGCAUAAAGCCGUGUCCGCAGAAGCGUACCUCGGCCAUUAAGCGUCUAUGUUGAUACCAUGUAAUAUCUCACAUGCUCCACUAGGUGGCACUGUGGUCACAUUCGGAAGUUGUACAGUUGACAGCAUUUCCUGUGAUGGCCAGCAAGGCCAGACAUUUGAGCUGUUUCAUGAGGGUACUCAACACAUGGUGAGCUAAACAUCCACACACACAGAGGCACAAGAUAGACAAAACUUACAUCUCUGACAAUACUGUGGGACACACAAACACACACAUUUGUAUGCACCCCCCCCCCCCACACACACACACACACACACACACACACACACUUAGACGUACACUGGACAUCGCUUUGGUCUGAUGAACAGCAACACUGAUGACAUCAGUAAUGGGUGCCAGUGGCUCAUCCAUAUUCAGGCAGUGUCUCUGAGACAGGUGGCCGCUCAGGUGGGCAGCUCCUGCUGGUGUCCUCACCAUGGCCGUCUGUGCUCACCGUGGCCGUCUGUGCUCACCACCGCCGUCUGUGCUCACCACCGCCGUCUGUGCUCACCGUGGCCGUCUGUGCUCACCACCGCCGUCUGUGCUCCCAGACACUGUUGUGCUCUUCAGUUCCAUCGGAGAGAAUACUGAACCUUACUGUAUGCAGCACUGCAGCCUGUGGUCCUGUGCCAGUCCAUUUUGUUUUUGCUGUGAAAAGCGCAGUGAUUAGCGCUCCACGUUAGCGCUUCACGUUAGCGCUUCACUUCAGCCCUUUCUGUCUUCCUUGGAAUGUAGUGAGUCAUGGCACUGACCCAGCACACACACUCUCCUGGUCUGAACCGGUCUGCAGUGUACCAGCACACACACACACACACACACUCCUGGUCUGCAGCGUACCAGCACACACACACACUCCUGGUCUGAACCAGCACACACACACUCCUGGUCUGAACCAGUCUGCAGCGUACCAGCACACACACACACACACACACACACACACACACACACACACACACACUCCUGGUCUGCAGCAUACCAGCACACACACACACUCCUGGUCUGAACCAGCACACACACACUCCUGGUCUGAACCAGCACACACACACACUCUCCUGGUCUGAACCAGUCUGCAGCGUACCAGCACACACACACUCCUGGUCUGAACCAGCACACACACUCCUGGUCUGAACCGGUUUGCAGCAUACCAAUACUAACCCUAACCAAUACAAACACCCAAAAAUCUACACUGCACGGACACUUCUGACACUUUGUAGUACUAGAAGACAGUUUGUGUUAAACAGACUAAUGAACACGUUUAGAGUGUAGAUAUAUUAAGCGUAUAUAAAGUAUAUAAAGUGACUUGUUAUUGUGUCUGUGUCAUGGGCACCUUAUUGCUGACUCCUCCCCCCGGAGGCCUGGUCGGUGUGCUUUGAUCUGAAAUGUCCAGUUUCUACCUGCUCUGGGUACCGGUUGCAUUUGAGGGUGUGUUUGUGUGUGUGUGAGGGUGUAUUUAUGUGUGAGUGUGUGUGUUUGUGUGUGUGUGAGUGUGUGUAUUUGUGUGUUUGUGUGUAUUAGUGUGUUUGUGUGUGAAGGUGUGUUUGUGUGUGUGUGAGAGUGUAUUUGUGUGUUUGUGUGUUUGUGUGUGAGUGUGUGUGAGGGUGUGUUUGUGUGUGUGUGUGUGUGUGUGUGUGAAAGGGUGUGUGUGUGUGUGUGUGAAAAGGUGUGUGUGUGUGUGUGUGUGUGUGAAAGGGUGUGUUUGUGUGUGAGUGUGAGUGUGUGUGUGUGUGUGUGUGUGUGUGUGUGUGUGUGUGUGUGUGUGUGAAAGGGUGUGUUUGUGUGUGAGUGUGGGACCCAGAGAGAGACAAAGGGAAAGGCAUAUAAACAGCAUCAGUGAGAGAGACAGAGAGAGAGAGAGAGAGAGAAUGUGUGUGUGUGUGUGUGUGUGUGUGUGUGUGUGUGUGUGUGUGUGUGUGUGUAGAUGCCAGUAUGCACUCUUGAGACUUUAGAGACGUCAGCUUCAAAGACUUGAUUCAGGUUCAGCCCCCCCCACACACACACACACGCAAACACACCAAAGGCCCACACACACACACACAGGCCCACAUUGAGAACAUUGUGUUCCCUGGUGCUGAGUGUGUGUCUCGUAUGUGUCAUGAACUGAACCCCUCAGAGUGGCAGUGUCCUUCCAUCAUCACACACACACACACACACACACACACACACACACACACACACACACACACACACACACACACACACACACACACACACACAC
ensembl:lncRNA